GCAAAUAGGAAAAUGAAUCAUUAUAUGUUGAAAAAAUUAACGAUAUAUUUGAUGCAGUACCCAGUCUUAUACGUAUAACCUAAAACGCGGAAGAAAUGUCCGACUAACCUCUACUGUAAUCAGCCUACGGGACGUUUUUUCCGAUGUAAUCGUCAUUCUCCUGUUUCACAAGUUUUCAUCGGCCAGCACCUACAGUCCGUUAUCUUGGUGCCACUUCCCUGAGGUACAGCUGGGUGACGCGCUGCUUUGGAGGGACUCUUUCAGAAGAUAUGCCAAUUUGGAGAGUGAGCACAGGAAUUUACCCAUAAAAAUACGUGGACUGAAGCUACCAGGGCAGAAGUGGCUGCUGAAUCAUCCUCUUCAGCUGAAGGGAUGUAUGCUGUAUUCCCUCCAUAUAGACUGGGAGUGACAGUGUGAUGAGCAGAUUUUUGAUGGGGGAAUAGUGAUUUUUUUAUUUUUAAAACCUGCAAAGAUACAGAUUAAUAGCGUGCAAAAUGACACGCUACAUUUCACUUUAUUUUGGUAGUAAUCAAGGCUCGUUUUUAAUUGCUAAUGUCAAUGUCAAGAGAAAGUAUUCAAGACUCCGGCCAGAACAAAUCAACAGCAUUAAGGACUCACCGCCAAUAGAGGUGUUCCCUGUGCUCGCAGUCACAUCCCUGUGAAUCUACUGCUUUAACACCAUUCUUAUGAUGUGUGGCUCAGCAUAGUUCGGCAACGCUGCCAAAUUGCAUCUUAUUUAUAUCUCGCAAGUAUACCAGUGCAGAGAAAAGUCAAGAUGCGAUAAUUCUGAGGUUGUGGAAGAGGAUGGGAUAAAAUUGCUACUUAUUAUUUUUUUUUCCUGCAUUCAUAUACAGUAAAAUAUAAGUUUUCAUGCCCCUGGGCUGUGAGGUUAAACCAGAUUUUUCCAUUAAGCAUCCAGUUGUUCUAGAAGGUAAAAGGAUCUGCUGAGCCAAUAAAUGCGAGAUAAACAGUAUCAUUCUCGCAUUCCUAUAAGGAAUAUAGGGUUGGGUCAGACCACUGAGUGUUUUCACAUGCAAGAAAAAAACAACAACAACUUUAACGAUUGUGUUCU